UCCCCUCCUAUCAGGCACACCUGAUUGUAGUCAUCAGCUUAUUAAUAGAGACUGCAAGACCUAAAUUGGUUGUCUGAUGAAUGAACAGGUUUGAGAAGCAAUAAUCUAUUCAACAAAAAAAAAAAAAGCAAACUGUUUACCUUAACGGAUACCCAUGCAUCUCCACUGACUGAUGGAAAAAACCAAGGGCAGUCGAUGCUUUGUUAUCUGUUGCAGCUCCAAGGUACAUGAUCUGAGAUGCAGUGGGCCCUGAACGGAAUAAGUCCUUCGGACAACACAUCUCAGCUGUGUCAUUCUUGCAAGUAUUCCAGCAGAGUCCACUCGAUGCAUGGAAUCCCACACCCUUGUCCAUGGCACACGGUGACCCAGUGCUUGCAACCGUCCUUUCAUCAUCCGGUGGCCUAGAAAUACCAAACUCAUUAAGACGCCGAUCAAUAGUCCUUGUUGACACACCGAGAAGCUGAGCAAUACAGGGGACAGACAGAUGCAUACUCACAAGAUUUACAAGAUGCUCUCUGGAUAUAAGAAACUUUGGACGUCCCCUCUCUCCAAAUUGCACUUCCAGUGCAGCUAUGGGUACACUGUUGUU